rnacentral:rRNA from 1 species
CCUACGGGUGGCAGCAGUGAGGAAUAUUGGUCAAUGGGCGAGAGCCUGCACCAGCCAAGUCGCGUGAGGGAGUACUGCCCUAUGGGUUGUAAACCUCUUUUGUCGGGGAGCAAAAGCCGGACGUGUCCGGCUGUGAGAGUACCCGAAGAAAUAGCAUCCGCUAACUCCGUGCCAGCAGCCGCGGUAAUUCGGAGGAUGCGAGCGUUUUCCGGAUUUAUUGGGUUUAAAGGGGGCGCAGGCGGUGGCACAAGUCAGCGUGAAACUCGCGGGGCUAAAACCCGCUCCGCCGUUGAAACUGUGUCCCGUGAGUGCGCGAAGGGUAGGCGGAAUGCGUGGUGUAGCGGUGAAAUGCAUAGAUAUCACGCAGAACUCCGAUCGCGAAGGCAGCCUACCGGCGCGCAACUGACGCUCAUGCACGAAAGCGUGGGUAUCGAACAGGAUUAGAUACCCUUGUAGUC